rnacentral:rRNA from 1 species
CCGGGGCUCAACCUCGGAACCGCAUUUGAAACUGGCAGGCUAGAGUCUUGUAGAGGGGGGUAGAAUUUCAGGUGUAGCGGUGAAAUGCGUAGAGAUCUGAAGGAAUACCAGUGGCGAAGGCGGCCCCCUGGACAAAGACUGACGCUCAGAUGCGAAAGCGUGGGUAGCAAACAGGAUUAGAUACCCUGGUAGUCCACGCCGUAAACGCUGUCUACUUGGAGGUUGAGGUUUAGACUUUGGCUUUCGGCGCUAACGCAUUAAGUAGACCGCCUGGGGAGUACGGCCGCAAGGUUAAAACUCAAAUGAAUUGACGGGGGCCCGCACAAGCGGUGGAGCAUGUGGUUUAAUUCGAUGCAACGCGAAGAACCUUACCUACUCUUGACAUCCAGAGAACUUUCCAGAGAUGGAUUGGUGCCUUCGGGAACUCUGAGACAGGUGCUGCAUGGCUGUCGUCAGCUCGUGUUGUGAAAUGUUGGGUUAAGUCCCGCAACGAGCGCAACCCUUAUCCUUGUUUGCCAGCACGUAAUGGUGGGAACUCCAGGGAGACUGCCGGUGAUAAACCGGAGGAAGGUGGGGACGACGUCAAGUCAUCAUGGCCCUUACGAGUAGGGCUACACACGUGCUACAAUGGCAGAUACAGAGGGCAGCGAAGCUGCGAAGUGGAGCGAAUCCCUUAAAGUUUGUCGUAGUCCGGAUUGGAGUCUGCAACUCG